AUCCCGUUAGUCGCCUCUGACGACAAGCCUGGAUUGCUGAACAUCAAUUCUAACCCGGAUCUUCAUGGGUCUGAUCAUGAGUCAAGACUGAAGACUUAGAAGAGUGUAUCAGUUAUGGAUCUCAUCCAUGCCUCUACUGUAAGAAAAUGAAAUUUCAGCCUUGAGGUUUGACAUUAUAAUAGCUGAAUGGACGGACUUCCUGACUCUGAACCUUCCAUUGUGAAGGUUUCGUUAUCAAGAUGAUUGGAAAAGGUUGCCAAACAGGAUAACUAGAAGGUGAAGGUCAUCUGUUAUCAGCUCGGAGCAGGGACAUUGCAUGGAUCCCAUCAGAGCUUCAAGCAACAUCUGUUGGUCUGGGCUUGAACAUGACAAACAUGCUACCAGAUAAUGAUCUGUCAGAGUUGGGCAGUGUUGGACAGUGACAUCGAAUAAGCAAUGACAGUCGGUACAACCGUAAUCAAUAAAACAAGUUUGAAUUCAAUUUGUUGAAUGAGACAUUU